GUGACCUGGUCUUCAUGGAGGAGGUCCUGUGUGAAGAGCUUAAGGAUGAGUAGCAGAUGAUGGGAAGGUGUUACAAGGAGAAGGAGAUGCAAGCCAAAUUGAGAAUGAAGAACUCGGUUCCCAGGAAUACAAAAUGAAGAAGAAGCAGUUUCUGGAGAUGCUGCAUAGCAGAAGUGAGACAGAGCCAUGAUUUACAGAACCAAGGCUACUGAAGCUGACUUCUGCAGAGAAGUUCUGGUUCUGGUGUUGGAAACAUUUCAUACUUGGGAUGUGAAGAUCUUGCAACUUGAAUUUCAAAAGAACAAGAGGCAGGGAAAAUUAAGCCUGUGUUUGAAAAUGUGUGAAGAAAGGAUAGCUAAUGCAUAACUUAUCUGGUAACUUAUGUGGAGCCAGAAAUAUAGACAGUGAAAACUGUUCAAAUAUUGUCAACCAGAGUUACAUAAUAAACUGGUUCAAUCUGAUGGUCACUGCAUGUGACUUAUAUGAGAACUUAUCUUCACUUCUAAUGCGUGAAAAAAUAAUCAAGGCAAUUCUGAAAGAAAACAUACAAUUUGAGGCUUAGAAUUUCAGAGGGCUAGAGUCCAAGAUCAUUAUAGUACUCUCUUAGAGUUUCUAUUUGUGAAGAAACACCAUGGUCACAGCAACACUUAUAAAGAAAAACAUUUCAUUAGAAUUCUCUUACAGUUCUGAGAUUUAUUCUGUGAUCUUCAUGGCAGGAAACAUGGUGGCACAAAGGCAGACAGGGUGCUGGAGAAUUCUACAUUUGGAUCAGCAGGCAGGAGGAAGCAAGAAUGAGAGUGGACCAUGGCUUGAGCUACUGGAACUUCUAAGCCCAUGCCCAGUGACACACUUCUUCCAAUAAAGCCAUACAUACUCCAACAAGGCCAUAUGUCUGUAUCCUUUCAAAUAACACCACAAUGACCCUGUGGGAUUUUCAUUCAAACUACUUCAUAUAGGAAGCAUGGCAACAGGUAGGACUUGUAGCUGAGAGCUUACAUCUAGAGAUACAACCAUGAAAAGAGAAACAGACAGACAGAUGGAUGGACAGAUGGACAGAUACUAAUGGACUAAUAGAUGGACAAAACCUUUCCAACAAUGCCACAUGUGUUAAUUCAUCAUUACCUCAGAGAACCAAAUAACACUAUUAAAUAUGGGCUACAGAGCUAAACAAAUACUGCUCAUCUGAGGAAUCUCAAAUGGCUGAGCAGCACUUAAAGAAAUGUUCAACAUCCUUAGUCAACAGGGAAAUGCAAAUUAAAAGAACCCUGAGAUUCUACCUCACACCAAUCAGAAUGGCUAAAAUAAAAAAUGCAGGUGACAGCAGAUGCUGGCAAGGAUGUGGAGAAAGAACACUCUUCUAUUAGUGGUAAGACUGCAAGCUGAUACAAUCACUUUGGAAAUUAAUCUGGCUGUUCUUCAGAAAAAUGGAAAUAGUUCUUCCUGAACACCCAGCUAUACCAGUACUUGGCAUAUACCCAAAAGAUGCUCCUACAUAUAACAAGACCACAUGCUCCACUCUGGUCAUAGCAGCCCUACCUAUAAUAGUCAGAAGUUGGAAACCACCCAGAUGUCCACCAACAGAAGAAUGUAUACAGAAAUUGUGUACAUUUACACAGUGGAUUAUUACUCAGCCAUUAAAAACAACGACUUUAUGAAAUUCUCAGACAAAUGGAAGAAACUAGAAAAUAUCGUCCUGAGUGAGGUAACUCAGACACCAAAGAAAACAUAAGUUCUCAGAAAGAAAAAAUGCUGAGGGAUUCAGCCUAUUCUUUUCCAAGACCCUGCCUUGGAUCUCAUCUCCUUCACAGGAAAGACUGGAAGAGCAAUGACUACAGGGCCAUUUGACUGUGAUCUUAGUGUCAGCUGUACAAGAUCUGAAGAGCACCUCAGCAGAAGAAACCACUCUUUUCUUUAGCAUUUUGAACACUUGUGUUGGAGGUAUGGGCUAUGUCCCUGAUUUUGGCAAUAUGUGCAAGUUAUAAGCUUUAUAAUGCAACAUCAUAAACUCCAUGCCCCUAAUAGUCUCUCAUUCCUCAGUGUUCAGAUGUCAGUCUUUCCAUCUUUACUCUAGACAAGACCUAUAAGAACUACUUUGAACAUUUGAAGAUACUUGCAAUUAUUUUUGCCUUUUGGGUAAACCUGUGAUACUAGAAUUCGUGAUGCUGGGUGGAUGAUAAAACUCAGUACUUACUUUUCAUAUCUGUGGAUUUUCUUAAGCUCCUGGCAUCUCAAUAACCAACACCCCCCAGAUGAAUAUUACUACUAAGAUGGGUAUCUAAUGUUACCUGUGUUAAGUUACUUCUGCCUACAUGUCUUCUUGACAUUAAAAAAUAAUUCAGAAAAGCCCAUUGAAAACAAUUUUUAAAAUUAAAUACACUAAGCAAUGAAACAGAGGACAAGUUAUGAAAACAUAUUUUCAAAAUGGUAGCUCCACUUCUUUAAUUUUCUCUGGCUAUUUACAUGAUUUAAAGAGAAGAGAAUAUUUUGUGUAUUGUAUUGAUGUGUCACCUGUCAAUUAAAAAUGUUUAUGGCUUAGGCAGGAAAUGGGAUGUAUGAUGUCCAGGAAAAGAAAGAAUUCUGGGAUAGAGCCAGCCAUGUGGCAGAGUAUAGAUUAAAAAAAAAUGACUUCUCUUAAGUUAUGAUUCCAGUUAGAGAAGAAUCUAGUUAUAUGGCCAAUGUAUUUGUGAAUAUAUUUUUAAUUGGAGUCUUAUUUCUAGAAGCAUGAGCCUAGGAGGAAGAACCUAAAGUUCUAUGCCACUAAGCACAGAAAUGCCCCCUAGUGAUUUUGGCUUCUCCUGACAGCUCUUGGUGUGAGGUCAUCAUAUUGCAAAGCUGUUUUCCAGAAAUGAAUUAUUUCUCACUAGCCCUGUAUGCAUGUCCUGAUCAUUCUCUUUAGAGGAUAAAAUGAAAAAAAAAA